UACAGAGGGUGCAAGCGUUGUUCGGAAUUAUUGGGCGUAAAGCGCGUGUAGGCGGCGACUGCAAGUCGGGUGUGAAAUCCCUCAGCUUAACUGAGGAAGUGCGCCCGAAACUGCAGCGCUUGAGUGCCGGAGAGGUGGCGGAAUUCCCCAAGUAGAGGUGAAAUUCGUAGAUAUCGGGAGGAACACCAGUGGCGAAGGCGGCGACCUGGGCCAAUAUUGACGCUGAGGUGCGAAAAGCG
rnacentral:rRNA from 1 species